AGGUCUUAGGAUCGUAAAGCACUUCCCAGGGAUGAUAAUGACAGUACCUGGUAAGAAACCCCGGCUAACUCCGUGCCAGCAGCCGCGGUAAUACGGAGGGGGUUAGCGUUGUUCGGAAUUACUGGGCGUAAAGCGUACGUAGGCGGAUCAGAAAGUUGGGGGUGAAAUCCCGGGGCUCAACCCCGGAACUGCCUCCAAAACUCCUGGUCUUGAGUUCGAGAGAGGUGAGUGGAAUUCCAAGUGUAGAGGUGAAAUUCGUAGAUAUUUGGAGGAACACCAGUGGCGAAGGCGGCUCACUGGCUCGAUACUGACGCUGAGGUACGAAAGUGUGGGGAGCAAACAGGAUUAGAUACCCUGGUAGUCCACACCGUAAACGAUGAAUGCCAGUCGUCGGGCAGUAUACUGUUCGGUGACACACCUAACGGAUUAAGCAUUCCGCCUGGGGAGUACGGUCGCAAGAUUAAAACUCAAAGGAAUUGACGGGGGCCCGCACAAGCGGUGUGGUAAGGUUCUGCGCGUUGCUUCGAAUUAAACCACAUGCUCACCCUUGACAUCCUGUGCUAACCCGAGAGAUCGGGCGUUCACUUCGGUGACGCAGUGACAGGUGCUGCAUGGCUGUCGUCAGCUCGUGUCGUGAGAUGUUCGGUUAAGUCCGGCAACGAGCGCAACCCACAUCCUUAGUUGCCAGCAGUUCGGCUGGGCACUCUAAGGAAACUGCCCGUGAUAAGCGGGAGGAAGGUGUGGAUGACGUCAAGUCCUCAUGGCCCUUACGGGUUGGGCUACACACGUGCUACAAUGGCAGUGACAAUGGGUUAAUCCCCAAAAGCUGUCUCAGUUCGGAUUGGGGUCUGCAACUCGACCCCAUGAAGUCGGAAUCGCUAGUAAUCGUGGAACAGCAUGCCACGGUGAAUACGUUCCCGGGCCUUGUACACACCGCCCGUCACACCAUGGGAGUUGGUUCUACCCGACGGCCGUGCGCCAACCUUUCGAGGAGGCAGCGGACCACGGUAGGAUCAGCGACUGGGGUGAAGUCGUAACAAGGUAGAUCAUCAACACCACGCGGCAUGGCCUAGAAUCAAGGCUUGGC
rnacentral:rRNA from 1 species